AGAACGCUCGUAGUCGGAUUUCGGGGCGGGCCGACCGGUCUGCCGAUGGGUACGCACUGGUCGGCGCGUCCUUCCUUCCGGAGACCGUGCCUACUCUUAACUGAGCGGGGGCGGGAGACGGAACUUUUACUUUGAAAAAAUCAGAGUGUUUCAAGCAGGCAGUGCGCUCUUGCAUGGAUUAGCAUGGGAUAAUGAAAUAGGACUUUGGUGCUAUUUUGUUGGUUUCGAACACCGAAGUAAUGAUUAAAAGGGACAGUCAGGGGCACUCGUAUUCCGCCGAGAGAGGUGAAAUUCUCAGACCAGCGGAAGACGAACCACUGCGAAAGCAUUUGCCAGGGAUGUUUUCACUGAUCAAGAACGAAAGUUAGGGGAUCGAAGACGAUCAGAUACCGUCGUAGUCUUAACCAUAAACCAUGCCGACUAGGGAUUGGAGGAUGUUCACUGAUUGACUCCUUCAGCACCUUACGGGAAACUAAAGUCUUUGGGUUCCGGGGGGAGUAUGGUCGCAAGGCUGAAACUUAAAGGAAUUGACGGAAGGGCACCACCAGGUGUGGAGCCUGCGGCUUAAUUUGACUCAA
rnacentral:rRNA from 1 species